ACAUUUAAGGAAAUCAACUACUCACAAAAAAAGCAAACCCUCCCAAGAUAGGUGAUAAUAAUAAACACCACCUAGCACAUUAUCUCUCUCAUAAUUCUCUCUUUGGUUUUGUUUUGUUGUCCUAAUGAGUUGUUUUACUUCUGAAAAAUCCACCAUGUCUUCCCAGCUCCAAAUGGUUCCUCUAAGCAAACUUCGUUACCAAAGGCUAAGGCAUGAAAAAGGGUGGGAUGAUGAAAGGGAAAGGAGGUCAAGAAGCUGGUUCAGGUUUAGAAGGGUUCCCAUUAGGAGAAGGUUUAGACUCAAAAUUCCAAGCUUGAGAAGACUUUGGAGAAAAAGGGCUAGGUUGGUUUCUUCCAUGAGAAUUUCAUAUGCUAAAGUGAUGAAAAGAUUCAAGGAAGGUCAAGUUCAUUUUGGUGACCUUUUUGCUGGGAACUACUUGUUCAUGCAUGUCAACCCUACCUCACUCAAGUGCCUUGAAAGGGAUUUGUCCCUCUCAAAAAUUGCAUAGAGCCUUUAUUGUGUUAUUAUUUUGGUUCUCACUAUGCUGCUUGGGAACUUCUGUCUCUUAUCUGCUAAUCAGAUCGGGAAAAAAUGUUGGAUUCGGGAGCAGCGAGAUUAUUUAAAAUUGGGGCAAUUAAUCUUCUCCUUAUGCUAGCGGCUUUAUAUAUGUUGUUUACAUCAAAUUCUGUCAACUCAAGAUGUUUGCAUCAUGGUAAUUGUAAUUAAUUGGUACAUUAAUUAUAUCGUAUAUAUGUAUACCAUUAAUUAUUGUAAUUUUAUGGUGACGUAUUAUAAUUUUGUAAUGCAUCAAA